rnacentral:rRNA from 1 species
AGGACGAACGCUGGCGGCGUGCUUAACACAUGCAAGUCGUAGGCACCAGCAAUGGUGACUGGCGAACGGGUGCGUAACACGUGAGCGACCUGCCGAUCAGAGGGGGAUAGCCGGCCCAACGGCCGGGUAAUACCGCGUACGACCUUUUGGGGACAUCCCUGAUUGGUGAAAGCAGCAAUGCGCCGAAAGAGUGCCUCGCGGCCUAUCAGCUAGUUGGUGGGGUAAUGGCUCACCAAGGCGACGACGGGUAGC